rnacentral:rRNA from 1 species
GAUGAACGCUAGCGGCAGGCUUAAUACAUGCAAGUCGAGGGGCAGCAGGACUGUAGCAAUACAGUUGCUGGCGACCGGCAAACGGGUGCGGAACACGUACGCAACCUACCCAAAACUGGGGGAUAGCCCGGGGAAACCCGGAUUAAUACCUCGUAACCUUUUUAAGUGGCAUCACUUGAUAAGUAUAGCUCCGGCGGUUUUGGAUGGGCGUGCGCCUGAUUGGGUAGUUGGUGCGGGUAACGGCCCACCAAGCCUGCCAUCAGUAACUGGUGUGAGAGCACGACCAGUCACACGGGCACUGAGACACGGGCCCGACUCCUACGGGAGGCAGCAGUAAGGAAUAUUGGCCAAUGGACGCAAGUCUGAACCAGCCAUGCCGCGUGAAGGAUGAAGGUCCUCUGGAUUGUAAACUUCUUUUAUGGGGGACGAAACCCGGAUAUUCUUAUCCGAUUGACGGUACCUCAGGAAUAAGCACCGGCUAACUCCGUG